rnacentral:rRNA from 1 species
UACGUAGGGUGCAAGCGUUAAUCGGAAUUACUGGGCGUAAAGCGUGCGCAGGCGGUUGUGUAAGUCUGUCGUGAAAUCCCCGGGCUCAACCUGGGAAUUGCGAUGGAGACUGCACGGCUAGAGUGUGUCAGAGGGGGGUAGAAUUCCACGUGUAGCAGUGAAAUGCGUAGAGAUGUGGAGGAAUACCGAUGGCGAAGGCAGCCCCCUGGGAUAACACUGACGCUCAUGCACGAAAGCGUGGGGAGCAAACAGG